rnacentral:lncRNA from 1 species
AUAGGAUUACUCACAUAGGGGCAGAAGCUCUUUCUCUAACAUGCAAGCAGAACGAACAUAGGACUGUACAUAUAAUAAGUUUCUAUAAGAUAAGCAGCUUGUUGUGUUACCACCUAGACAAAAGCACUUGAGUGGACAGAUCAAAACACUGGAUAGGGGACACAUCUAGCACACACUUUUCACAUAUCAUUUGAAUUUUGGUGGAUCCUGGAUGAACGGCUUCUUGGAGACUGAAUUCGGGUGGACUCCUAGAUCUCCAGUAUAGAUAUUAAUCCAUGAAAUUGUCCUAUAGAAAAUACAAAAAUAUAAGAACCAUGAGCUCAAGGUAUGCUUGUAAUUAGAACAACAACCUACAUGUAAUCCUCCAGGGAGAAUGAUACUGCAAAAAGGUUAAAUCUCUUAUACUGAAAACCGUGCGAAGGAGUGCCCCACUGUAAUAAUGUAAAUUUCCUGGAAUGUAUAUUUAAUAGCUAAAUUUUGUUCAAAUAUCUGGGAAUAUUAAUUAUAAAGCCGAAGAAUGCAUGAAACAACAGACCAAAUAUAUCUACCAUAAGACACUGAAAAAGAUAUCAUUUGGAUCUAUUUUGUCAACAAAAUUGACAACCACAAUAACUAUGACAAUCCUGCACAAAGGAUGGUAUACACCAGAAUACUUUCACUCAUAAAUUCUAUCUAAAAUCUAAGGUUUAUUCUUAGAUGCAAAUAUACUAUCAACUCAUAAAGCUGAGAUACCCCUUCGGACCAGAUCACCUAAGUUGGCACUAAUAUCAACUUUUACUUUGCAAUAAUAAGAAGAUCUUCAUACUUUCCUCUGUAUCAAAUCUAAUAGGUUUACAACCCUAAUAUAUGACAUUGGCUACUGUCAUGUUGCAUUUCAAAACAACAAGGGAAAAAGGCACAACAACCACGUGUAGGGCUGCUCCAAGAAACUCACAUGCUUAGUUUUCAUCUUGAUGUUGUAGUGUAGCAAAGACUCCGUAGAAACAAACACAUCGAAGCAAAGCGAAAAGAAAAAAUGGCUACAUAGCAAGCAAUGAUAAUGAAAGAUAUUUUCAGUUAUCACUGACCACCAGAAGUAACACUAUCGGCUCCAUAAAAUGGCUUGGUGAUUGAUUGUUGAAAGGCAGAAGAACUGAAUAUAUAAGAAUAAGCCAUAAGGCACACUUCUCACAAAAAAAGAGAUGGCCACUGUGAAGAAGCACGAGCCUAGUAUGUCUCUAAUAACAGAGAUGCUCCUGUUCAAUAUAACUAAACUAUUCCUUGAGCAAAAGGUAAACAUGCAUGUAGCUUGAAUUCAAAGAAUACACAUGUAGCUGGAAAGAAAGGAAGCAAACCUCAGGCAGCAAAACAGAGUUACAACAAAAUAGAGGAUCAACAUGCAGCAACAUAGGAGAUCACAUAACCUGAUAAAUAAACAUAAAUGAAGUAGUCAGAGCAGGAAAAGAAAACUUCAUGCGCCAAGGCAUUAAAACAUUUUACGGUUCAGUUUGCAAGUUCAAAGUUGACACCAAGGCGUCGCACAACUUUAGAGUAAAAUACCAGCAUGCUAUGCAUGUAUACCAUGUUUCACUUUGAAAAUAAAGCUGGAUUGCAACUGAAUAUCUCUCCUUGUAUUUCCUAUAUUCCACACAACUAAAUUAAACCAGCGAGUUAGCAUGUCAUUAUUUACAAAGAAACACCAAAAUAACCUAAUCAACCAUAUCCCUUCUUUAAUAUUUCCUUCCUUUUUUGUAAUUCUAAUUCUCCAACAUGGCACAAGGAUUUAUCCCUAUUUAAUCUCACACUAAGAUCUAAACUUAGUGUGUGGCAUAUAUAUUAAUACCCCCAACCUAAGAUCUGAGAAGAGCAAGAACAACAAAACUGAGAAAUUUCACUUGGUUAUUUUAAGUUUUCGUCGAACUGGCAAAAUCAUUUGUAGGCAACUCAAGUUAUACGCCGCGUGCAAGAAGUGAACUUCCUCAGAAACCUCACAAAUGUACGACAAGUCAGGUAAGUAACAAUACAUUGAGGAUGAAAAAAAUGCUUAUCGAUACAUGAGUUGAGAAACCAAUCAAAUACCUUCAGAUUCAAUGACGCAAUUAUCCUAGAAAGAUCUUAAGCCUGGAGAACCCUUCAACUGAACAAAAAACAGCAAGUCAACAUAGCAACAACAACACAAGAGACAGCUUGUUAGCAAAUCCAGCGGUAAACAAAAAAACACGCUACUAAUUCUUAAUAUCAUUAACCUGUAAGAUUUGUACACGUAAAGUCAUGUUAGUGAUUCUUACACCAAAUCAGUAUACCACCGCCAUAGUACUACACCGUCUAAUUUCUAUAUGAUUAUCAGACUGAAGAAAAACGUUGCAGCCCCCUUCCGCCACUUUGCGGAUGUGACCUCGUGUUCCCUCCGCUUCAGAUCAGGAACCUGAGGGAGGAAGAA